rnacentral:lncRNA from 1 species
GUGGUUUUGUUUUUUGUGACAUUAUAUGCUAGCUUGAAAAAUGGGUGUCUGAUUAUUUCUGGCUGGGUACUCUCCUGACAUAAUCUAAUGUUUUGCUUUCGUUGUAAAGCCUUUUUGAAAUCAGACAGUAUGGUUAGAUAAUGGAGAGUCUUGUCUUUAAAAUGGUGUAAAAUAGUCAUAUGUUUGAAAAAUUGAAGUUUUCGGAUUUUCGAGGAGUUUGUAUUUCGCGCCAUGCCCAUCAUUGGAUAUUGGAGCAGGUGUUCCACUAGCGGAACGUCUAGAUGUAAGAGGUCACUGGUUCAACUUCCUUCAAUUACACAUGCACUUAUAUCAAUAUCUAAGGCUUUGCUGUUGGCUUAGGGGCUUAUUGUAAAUACAUAUGAUAGAUUUAGCAAAAGCACAGUGUUUUGUAAACAUGUUGACGCUGCAAUGUGACCGUGUCUUAGCCUUGGUUUUGCAUUUCAAUGUUUUCUUAAUGAUUACAAAUCUGUCACACUUAGCUUGCAGUUUAGACACACACACACACACGCCUUGUGGAACACACACACUCUGAAACACACACACACAACAUGUUUUGGGGUUGUCGUGGGGUUGUUGAUUACUGAUUAUACUGAUUACACCGUAACUUGCAGUUUACAGUCUCAGCAUGCACAGGCUGUCAUCAAAUAUUUGUGGCAGACUGUUCACACACUCAGUCACACAUGUUGUGGCAUAGCAGGACAAGCUGUUGCAGGCAAUCCCAUUAAUCCACAGUAACAGAGCACUUCCUUCAUACUCUCUCUCUCUGUCUCUGUCUGUCUCCCUCUCUCUAUUGGUCUCAACUAAAUGGCAGAUUUAUAAAAAUCAAAUGGCGUUCUCAUUGUUUGUAUUUGUUUGCGGGUCUCCAGAGAGAGAUGUCUCCUGUCAAGCCACAAAUACAGAGGAAGGUGUCUCCCCUCAAGCCACAGAGAGAGAGGAAGGUGUCUCCCCUCAAGCCACAGAGAGAGAGGGAGCUGUCUCCCCUCAAGCCACAGAGAGAGAGGGAGCUGUCUCCCCUCAAGCCACAGAGAGAGAGAUGUCUCCCCUCAAGCCACAGAGAGAGAGAGAGAGAUGUCUCCCCUCAAGCCACAGAGAGAGAGGGAGCUGUCUCCCCUCAAGCCACAGAGAGAGAGGGAGAUGUCUCCCCUCAAGCCACAGAGAGAGAGAGAGAGAGAGGGAGAUGUCUCCCCUCAAGCCACAGAGAGAGAGGGAGAUGUCUCCCCUCAAGCCACAGAGAGAGAGAGAGAGAUGUCUCCCCUCAAACCACAGAGAGAGAGGGAGAUGUCUCCCCUCAAGCCACAGAGAGAGAGAGAGAGAGAGAGAGGAAGAUGUCUCCUGUCAAGCCACAGAGAGAGAGGGAGAUGUCUCCCCUCAAGCCACAGAGAGAGAGAGAGAUGUCUCCCCUCAAGCCACAGAGAGAGAGAGAGAUGUCUCCCCUCAAGCCACAGAGAGAGAGGGAGCUGUCUCCUGUCAAGCCACAGAGAGAGAGAGAGAGAGAGGGAGAUGUCUCCCCUCAAGCCACAGAGAGAGGGAGAUGUCUCCCCUCAAGCCACAGAGAGAGAGAGAGAGAGAGGGAGCUGUCUCCCCUCAAACCACAGAGAGAGAGAGAGAUGUCUCCCCUCAAGCCACAGAGAGAGGGAGAUGUCUCCCCUCAAGGCACAGAGAGAGAGAUGUCUCCCCUCAAGCCACAGAGAGAGAGGGAGAUGUCUCCCCUCAAGCCACAGAGAGAGAGGGAGCUGUCUCCCCUCAAACCACAGAGAGAGAGAGAGAUGUCUCCCCUCAAACCACAGAGAGAGAGAGAGAUGUCUCCCCUCAAGCCACAGAGAGAGAGAGAGAUGUCUCCCCUCAAGCCACAGAGAGAGAGGGAGAUGUCUCCCCUCAAGCCACAGAGAGAGAGGGAGAUGUCUCUCCUCAAGCCACAGAGAGAGAGGGAGAUGUCUCCCCUCAAGCCACAGAGAGAGAGGGAGAUGUCUCCCCUCAAGCCACAGAGAGAGAGGGAGAUGUCUCCCCUCAAGCCACAGAGAGAGAGAUAGAUGUCUCCUCGCAAACCACAGAGGAAGAUGCAGGAAGAUGAUGCCAUGAACAAAUUGCCAUGAAAUGGCUUGGUUUGUAAACAGCCCCGUCCGGUUGCGAUAUUGCAACAAGAAAGAAGUUACUGAAAACAACAAACAGUUUUUAUCCCCCUCAGACAUCAUCGCACGCAAAAUAGAUGAGCACAAUAUUUACUGCAAUUAUUUUUACCAUGCUCCGCGACACUCCUCAGGAUGGCAACUAAAACAAUAAUAGUGUCCUAUUGGGCAGCCAGUGGCGCUGUUUCCCCUACUGUGGAUUCCGUGUUUAAGGCUAUACGCUUCUUUGACACACAGGGAAGGAAGAAUACACCCCCAGUGUGUCACACACACUCACACUGUGUUUCUGCCUCUCAAACACAGACACACAAACACAUCGCUUCUCUCUCAAACAAACAAAAGCACACACACACUGCGUCUCACACACACACAGAAUCACACACACACACACACAGAAUCACACACACACUGCGUCUCACACACACACACAGAAUCUCACACACACACACACACACACACACACACAGAAUCACACACACACUGCAUCUCACACACACACAGAAUCUCACACACACACACACACACUGCGUCUCACACACACACAGAAUCACACACACAGUGUCUCACACACACACACACACACUGCGUCUCACACACACAGAAUCACACACACACAGUGUCUCACACACACACACAGCAUCUCACACACACACACAGUGUCUCACACACAGCGUCUCACACACACACACUGCGUCUCACACACACAGUGUCUCUCACACACACACAGCAUCUCACGCACACACACACACAGCGUUUCA